rnacentral:rRNA from 1 species
CGUUUAGGGGUAAACCUGAGAAACCCGAAAGGUCGAAGGGAGAAAUUCAUUCGCGUUUCGACGUAGGCGUGGGACGAUGUCGUGCGACGGGACGCGCGUUCUUCGGAACCGGGUCUCGCGCCCUUCGUCCUUCGAACCGACGGCGAACGCGUGCACUUUUCUCCUGGUAGGACGUCGCGAUCCGUCGGGCGUCGGUCUACGACUCGCGGUGGAGCCCGCUCGUAUUUGUUUCGUUACGUACGAGCGGACCCGCUUGUUCCGGCCGACUCGCUCGACGGUAUACGUAAGGUCGGAGGCCGCUCGUUUUUAGAAGCGUUCGACUCGUCGCAAGCGCGCCACGUGCGUCGGCACGCGGACCCGGUGCCGCGUCCGACCUCUGGCGACUGUUGGCGACGACGCUCUCGGACAGACCUCUUCGCGUUCGAAUUUUUCGAACGCCAGACCGAUCGGCGACGCUAUAGCUUUGGGUACUUUCAGGACCCGUCUUGAAACACGGACCAAGGAGUCUAGCAUGCGCGCGAGUCAUUGGGAAUCACUAAACCUAAAGGCGAAAUGAAAGUGAAGAUCUUCCUAGCGAAGAUCGAGGGAAGACGGACGCUAAAACCCCUCGAAAGCGGGGAUCGUCCUGCAUUCCCGGGGCGUCUCGUUCACAUCGCGUGAAGAGGCGCACCAAGAGCGUACACGCUGGGACCCGAAAGAUGGUGAACUAUGCCUGGUCAGGACGAAGUCAGGGGAAACCCUGAUGGAGGUCCGUAGCGAUUCUGACGUGCAAAUCGAUCGUCGGAACUGGGUAUAGGGGCGAAAGACUAAUCGAACCAUC